CACGCCACUUACGUUCCGAUGAAAUCCAAAUACGGCAGUUUGUUUACAUUCGCGGUGGUCUACACAUUGAGAAAGGUUGCUCUGUUCCUGUAAUCCGUGGGUUGAAACCAGUCCCCAAGCGGAGGCUCUGUGUUGGAAACCCUAGUGAUCUUGAUUCUAGCGACUUGCUGGUUCCUUUCACCGUGGCCUCUGUUUCGCCGACGACGAAAAAGAAGAAUCUUGUUGAGAUGAGGAUGAGUUUGGAUUCCACGAGAAGGAGUUGUUGGGAUCAGAUUCCUCCGGUGAUUCAUCGCCGUGACGCCGCAUUGCUUCUUUCUUCACCAC
rnacentral:lncRNA from 1 species